rnacentral:lncRNA from 1 species
AAAAACCCUGCAACUACGCCAGUUAUAUAGAUGUAUGUAUAACUGAACUUGUUGCUGCAUGAGAUCAUUAUUUUAAUUGUGAAUCCAAUUGUUCUUUAUCACCAGGCCAUGGUCCAUCUUACCCUGAAAUUAAAGCACAACCGUCUUUCUAUUGCUUUUGUCUUUACAAGUGUGUCCCUGAUGCCAUGUUGUCCAAGAUCAACAUUUUGUAGCUUCCUUAUAUAUGGCUUGCUCUCUUUCCACCAUCAUGAAACUUAAUUUGAUUUAUAUUCUGCAGGAGCUUAUUCUUAUUCUCCAUUGCUUCUAAUUUAAGUUCUGUUCUGCCUUGCUGGCCUUGAAUUUAUAUUUUCAAAUAAAAAUUUUGUGCUAAGAUUCUUUGCAUUACCUCAUUCAGGUCAUGGGAUCCAAGAAAUUAUGCAUUCAUGUUGUAGAAUCUGAAAUAGAUUGGUGAGGUUUCGCCUCACACUUGAGAACCUAUAUUAAAUACAUGAAUCCUCUUCUCUCCCUGGUUCAGAUCAAAUGUGGAGAUCAUUCGUUUUCCGCUAUGACUACUAUUUUCACCUCACAAAUGGUCUUUCCUUUUGUUGAUGUCUCGCCUCCUGUGUACUGAUAGAGGCAUAGAAAUAUGCAUGUCUUGGAUGAGAGAAAUAUGAUUGUCCAUGUAUUUUGUAUCUUGCACUUACCUCUUGCGAUUAGUUUCCCUAAAUAUAAAAGAUACGGUUUUCAGUCAUAUUGGUUUUUCGUCCUUUUUGGUAAAAGAUUCAAAGUGUGUGUAUAAUCAUUUAUAGUAGAUAGGAUAGUGCAUUCACUGAAAAUUUGUGAAAGCGUAAGUUAUCUUACUCAGGCUUGUGCUUUUGGAUUGCAGUUCAAAUUUCACCUCGGGUUGUAACAGAGAAGACCAUUGUCGAGACAUAUUUAGAGGUGGUGAAGUUGUGGGGCUUAUUUUGCUUUUUUGAUUACAUGACUAAAAUAGUGUGUAGUUUUUUUGGAAUAGCUAAUGAGUUCUCACUUUAAUUGUUCCCUGGAACACCAUUUUUAUUGGACUCAUCGGUUGGUCCACAAUGAUAGUCAAUUGUUUUAUGAUUUCCCAUUGUAGUAGGUAGAUGUUAUGUUUUUUUUCUUAUAGUUUCCCCUUCGAUUCUCAAUCUGGUCGCUGUUGAGGGUUAUGUACCUAUAUGUAUAUGUCGGGAUUCAGAUACAUGUGCUUGAUUAAUUCAUUUAUUUAUUUCCUUGGUCCUUUUGGUGUUGCCAUUGAAUUAAGGAGUAGUAAGACACAAGACGGUGCUUAAUUCUACCCUUAAAACCACAUUGUAAAUAUCUAUCGCCUGCUGGCCUACUACUGUAAAUGGUUUGUACAGUUUGUUUUCCAAUGGAUUUAGUUACAUGAUGUUGGAUUAGAUGGCUGCCAUUAUGCAGCUCAUUUUCAGUGCCUCAGGUGAUGUUCUAUAUAAAAUGGCGUAAAAUGUGAAAUUGGGAAAUACUUUUGAUAUACUUUUGUAACACGGUGUUAAUCCAUUUUUGGUUUGUACAUAGUUCUAUUGGUUCGUCUCUAAUUGUCCUGGCAGUAUAAGAGUUCUGGUUUUCCAGAGGCUAGAACUUUGAUGGAUAGUUCUUAGUGUGAUUCUAUGGAUACAGAGCCCAGGUAAAUCACUUCUCAUUGCCUGUUUUGUCGGUAUCGAUCGUCUAUUAUCUGUACAAGAUUUGAUCGAAUGGUUCUGAUGCCACAAAGUGACCGUGCUUUGUUAGUAC